rnacentral:rRNA from 1 species
CCUAUAAGACUGGGAUAACUUCGGGAAACCGGAGCUAAUACCGGAUAACAUUUGGAACCGCAUGGUUCUAAAGUAAAAGAUGGUUUUGCUAUCACUUAUAGAUGGACCCGCGCCGUAUUAGCUAGUUGGUAAGGUAACGGCUUACCAAGGCAACGAUACGUAGCCGACCUGAGAGGGUGAUCGGCCACACUGGAACUGAGACACGGUCCAGAUUCCUACGGGAGGCAGCAGUAGGGAAUCUUCCGCAAUGGACGAAAGUCUGACGGAGCAACGCCGCGUGAGUGAUGAAGGUUUUCGGAUCGUAAAACUCUGUUAUUAGGGAAGAACAAAUGUGUAAGUAACUGUGCACAUCUUGACGGUACCUAAUCAGAAAGCCACGGCUAACUACGUGCCAGCAGCCGCGGUAAUACGUAGGUGGCAAGCGUUAUCCGGAAUUAUUGGGCGUAAAGCGCGCGUAGGCGGUUUCUUAAGUCUGAUGUGAAAGCCCACGGCUCAACCGUGGAGGGUCAUUGGAAACUGGGAAACUUGAGUACAGAAGAGGAAAGUGGAAUUCCAUGUGUAGCGGUGAAAUGCGCAGAGAUAUGGAGGAACACCAGUGGCGAAGGCGACUUUCUGGUCUGUAACUGACGCUGAUGUGCGAAAGCGUGGGGAUCAAACAGGAUUAGAUACCCUGGUAGUCCACGCCGUAAACGAUGAGUGCUAAGUGUUAGGGGGGUUUCCGCCCCUUAGUGCUGCAGCUAACGCAUUAAGCACUCCGCCUGGGGAGUACGACCGCAAGGUUGAAACUCAAA